GAUGAACGCUGGCGGCGUGCCUAAUACAUACAAGUCGAGCGAACAGAUAAGGAGCUUGCUCCUUUGACGUUAGCGGCGGACGGGUGAGUAACACGUGGGUAACCUACCUAUAAGACUGGAAUAACUCCGGGAAACCGGGGCUAAUGCCGGAUAACAUUUAGAACCGCAUGGUUCUAAAGUGAAAGAUGGCUUUGCUAUCACUUAUAGAUGGACCCGCGCCGUAUUAGCUAGUUGGUAAGGUAACGGCUUACCAAGGCAACGAUACGUAGCCGACCUGAGAGGGUGAUCGGCCACACUGGAACUGAGACACGGUCCAGACUCCUACGGGAGGCAGCAGUAGGGAAUCUUCCGCAAUGGGCGAAAGCCUGACGGAGCAACGCCGCGUGAGUGAUGAAGGUCUUCGGAUCGUAAAACUCUGUUAUUAGGGAAGAACAAAUGUGUAAGUAACUGUGCACGUCUUGACGGUACCUAAUCAGAAAGCCACGGCUAACUACGUG
rnacentral:rRNA from 1 species